rnacentral:rRNA from 1 species
UACGUAGGGGGCAAGCGUUGUCCGGAAUCAUUGGGCGUAAAGAGCGCGUAGGCGGCCCAGUAAGUCCGCUCUGAAAGUCAGGGGCUCAACCCCUGGAUGCGGGUGGAUACUGCUGGGCUAGAGUCCGGAAGAGGUGAGUGGAAUUCCUGGUGUAGCGGUGAAAUGCGCAGAUAUCGGGAAGAACACCCGUGGCGAAGGCGGCUCUCUGGGACGGUACUGACGCUGAGACGCGAAAGCGUGGGGAGCGAACAGG